UACGGGAGGCAGCAGUGGGGAAUAUUGCACAAUGGGCGCAAGCCUGAUGCAGCCAUGCCGCGUGUAUGAAGAAGGCCUUCGGGUUGUAAAGUACUUUCAGUCGUGAGGAAGGUGUUAAGGUUAAUAACCUUAGCAAUUGACGUUAGCGACAGAAGAAGCACCGGCUAACUCCGUGCCAGCAGCCGCGGUAAUACGGAGGGUGCGAGCGUUAAUCGGAAUUACUGGGCGUAAAGGGCACGCAGGCGGUUAAUUAAGUUGGAUGUGAAAUCCCCGGGCUUAACCUGGGAAUGGCAUUCAAGACUGGUUAGCUAGAGUCUUGUAGAGGGGGUAGAAUUCCAUGUGUAGCGGUGAAAUGCGUAGAGAUGUGGAGGAAUACCGGUGGCGAAGGCGGCCCCUGGACAAAGACUGACGCUCGAUGUGCGAAAGCGUGGGGAGCAAAC
rnacentral:rRNA from 1 species